rnacentral:rRNA from 1 species
GACGAACGCUGGCGGCAUGCCUAAUACAUGCAAGUCGAGCGAACAGAUGAAGUGCUUGCACUUCUGACGUUAGCGGCGAACGGGUGAGUAACACGUAAGGAAUCUACCUAUAAGCGGGGGAUAACAUUCGGAAACGGGUGCUAAUACCGCAUAAUAUCUUCUUCCGCAUGGAAGAAGAUUGAAAGACGGCUCUGCUGUCACUUAUAGAUGACCUUGCGGUGCAUUAGUCAGUUGGUGGGGUAACGGCCUACCAAGACGAUGAUGCAGAGCCGACCUUAGAGGGUGAUCGGCCACAUUGGGACUGAGACACCGCCCAAACUCCUACGGGAGGCAGCAGUAGGGAAUCUUCCGCAAUGGGCGAAAGCCUGACGGAGCAAUGCCGCGUGAGUGAAGAAGGCCUUCGGGUCGUAAAACUCUGUUAUAAGAGAAGAACAAAUUGUAGAGUAACUGCUACAGUCUUGACGGUAUCUUAUCAGAAAGCCACGGCUAACUACGUGCCAGCAGCCGCAGUAA